CUCGGUAUUGCAUCGACAUCCCUUGUUAGGUAGUUAGCCAAAUUUUGCCAUGGAUAGCUGGAAUCGUCUCCUGGAAGUAAUUUUCACGUGCAAGGUCGGUGGAUUUGCUUCUAAAAGCUAAACCCCCAAAUUCAACCCACCCAAUUUCAUCGAAAAUGGCAACUUCAAGUUUUCCCCCUUCUUUUUCAUCCCUCUCCGUAAUUCUUCCCCUUCAGAAUCAUACACCCAACAAAUUUUUAUCAUUCCCUUCGAAGCUUUCGAAACCCCACUUGCAAUUCCACAGAAUCUGCUGCGGAAUGCCUGAGACUGGGGUUCGGCAAAACCCCACAAGCGGCGGAGCUUCCACUUCCAGGAACAGCACGGAGAUGUACAAUAUGACUAUGAAGAAGAUGAUGAAGAACCCUUAUGAGUAUCACCAUGAACUGGGUAUGAACUAUACUGUGAUAGCUGACAAUUUGAUUGUCGGUUCCCAGCCUCAAAAACCCAAAGAUAUCGAUUUCUUGAAGGAGGAAGAAGGUGUUGCCUAUAUUCUGAAUUUACAGCAGGACAAGGAUGUUGAGUAUUGGGGAGUCGACUUACGAUCAAUUAUAGAAAGAUGUAAAGAACUUGGAAUUCAUCAUAUGAGGAAACCGGCAAGAGAUUUUGAUCCAGAUUCCAUGAGAAAUGGAUUACCUAAAGCUGUUUCCUUGCUAGAAUGGGCGAUCUCGGAGGGUAAAGGAAAAGUUUAUGUCCAUUGCACCGCUGGACUAGGAAGGGCUCCUGCCGUUGCAAUAGCUUACUUGUUCUGGUUUUGUGGAAUGAAUUUAAAUACCGCAUAUGAAGCACUGACCUCGAAGCGACCUUGUGGACCGAGUAAAAGAGCGAUUCGUGGAGCCACAUACGAUCUAUGUAAAACAGAUCAAUGGAAGGAGCCAUUCGAGAGCCUUCCCGACAAUGCAUUUGAAGGUGUUGCAGAUUGGGAGAGAAACUUGAUUCAGGAUCGGGUCCGCUCUCUCCGCAAAACUUGAGUAAUUGUGCAUCGUUUUCCCUUUGCUUACUUGGUCCUGAAACUUCCUAGUUUGAGUUGAAAUUUUAUAAGGUCUUCUAGGGGCAAUUUGGUUUAAGGUUUCGAGAAAUAUCCAUCGGUCAAGGAAUAAGAUGUUUGGGAAUCAAAGAUAACUGUUUUUGGUUAGCUCUAUUUGGACUAUCAUGAUUUCGACCUGGAAUUGGUCGAGGAAAUCAAAAUAGGUAGUUGUUCGUGGUAAAACAUGAAGGUUCGAUAAUGUUCGGUAUUACUAGGAUGAUGGAUUGGACAACAAAUGUAGCAAUAAGGUGACACAAUUUGCUAUAUUGCAUAAAUGUCAAUCUGUAUAGAACACUAAAAUGAUUCAAAGUAAUAUAUAGUGGUGUUAAUGGUACUUUUGGAUCAAA